AAUCAUCUCCCAUUGAAAGCUGAAUCAUGAGGAUACCAUCUCCAAGCAGGUGGAGUAUUUGAUCCCUUUAGCAAGGCAGUGAUUUUGAAAUUCGGGUUUAGACAAAAAGAUAUUUCAAGCUCCUGAAGAACAAGUUUGAAGGAUUCAGAGCAGAGAAUUGCACCCUGGCAUGAUGCCUAUGCCAGCUGGACUGUGUGAUUUUUGUUCUUUAGUAGAAGGAUAACAUGACAUAGCAGGAAUAAUACUGCCUUUUCUUUCUGGCAUGGAUCAAGAGAAAAGAAAAUACAAGAAAACAGACAGAAGCAAGGCAAGGUACUUCUAUGGAAGGGUGAGCCCUCACAGAUGGAGCAAUGGGGCGCGCACACCUGAACAAGGGAGGGGAAGGAGUUCUUAUCCCUGAUGCAUGUGACCCCUGCUGCUGUGUCCUUCCCCUAUUGGCUAAGGUUAGACCACACAGCCUAAACUAAUUCCGAUUGGCUAAUUCAAAGAGAGCGACGGGGGCUUCUGACAGCUUUGGAGAUUGUGACAUUGGAAUAAAGGAAAAACGUACAGGACUCAUGAAGCGCUGAAAUGUUCACAAAUAUCAAGCAAAAGUCAAUGAAAUUUAUUUUGAGCUAUUUACAUCAUUUAAUAAUUGAGCAAGGUAUACUCCUAUGAACAAAAUUUGGAGCAUGUUUGUCUCUCUCUGCCUGGCGUCUUCAGAAUUUGGAAACUAGUUGUCAGGAGUUAACUUUUAUGUGACAAGCUUUACUAGGUCAGGAGCCUAUCGCUGUUUAUAUUCUCUGCAAAGUUUUAAUUGUGAAAAAGGAUUUGAGAUGGUUUAUAAUCAGCUAUAGAAUUUUAACACGUGCUCUCAAAUGCAAGUUUCUGAUAACUUUGGAGAUUGUGACAUUGGAAUAAAGGAAGAGCUGGAAUGUUCAUGAAUAUCAAGCAAAAGUCAUGGAAAUUUAUUUUGAGCUAUUUACAGCAUUUAAUAAUUGAGCAAGGUAUACUCCUAUGAACAAAAUUUGGAGCAUGUUUGUCUCUCUCUGUCUGCCUGGCAUCUACAGAAUUUGGAAACUAGUUUCGUUCCCAGAUUUCCUAAACUUUCCAGAGAAAAUGGUCUUCUCCCUGGCUCAGCAAGAAGAUGAACUUUAAACACUGAGAAACUGGUCAUCUCCCUGGCUCAACCAGAAGAUGAACUUUAAACACUACUCUCAAUGACUUGAUGUUCCCAUCACUACUCCUGUCAUAAAGGGAGGGGACUCAGAUAUUGAGAAUUUUAUGAUAGUGUGAACUGUCUGGUAUGUCAUUUAAGUAAGCCCGUUGCUGAAAUAUUUUCCAUGUUAUUAGAAAGAGCUGAAGAGAGGGAUUGAGAUGGCUUCUUUAUUUUUUGUCUUUUGGGAAUUAAAGGAACCUGGUUCAACAAGGGCCUACACCUAAGUCUCUUGUUGUACCAGAGUACAAUUUAGGACUGCUCCUGAGGAAGGAAUUAGCUAGAAAUCUAGAGAGUAAGGGUAACAGAUUUACAUAGAAUAACAGCCUCAGUAUUUUUGGUUCCUCUCCAGUAAAGAUCACAAAGAAUAUUGCUAAAUCGCUAAAACACCUUUGCAAUAACGUAAGGGCUUACAACUAUAUACCAAUGUAGCUCAGUUACUAAACUGGAGUAAACUAAUUUCUCUUGUGUAGAAAAAUUGGUUGGCUGUGGUUUUAUAGCAGAUCUGCAAUUAUUAAUAGUUAUGCCAAUAAUCGUUUAACAGUGCAUAUGUUAAUAUAUAUGGAAAGACAAUGUGUAUAGACAGAUGUGUAAAAUUGAAAAAUAAACAUAUAACAAGAGAGAAACAUCUAUCGAACAGACAAUAUACAUACACAUCAAACACAACAGCAGUUUUAGUGACCAUAAUAUUUAUUUCUCAUUUUUACAUUGCUUACUUUAGUGACAACUGAAAAUGACAGUUGGCAAUGCAGCUAACAGUUUCAAUAAAAGUAUAAAACAAAAGACUGUGUACAAAGCACCUGUCUUUCCGCUUUUGUAAUCUUCCGUUGGAAAAAAUUUACACACCUAAGUAACCAUCUGUUUUCUUCAAGAAAAAAUCAUUCUUAUUUCUCUCUCUCAUCUUGAAAACAGCUGUCAGCCAGGAGGGCAGAGCUGAAAUUUAUUGCCACAUCACAUGAAGCAUAGAACAGACUCCACUACUCCUUGAGAUUCAAAACUUUGCCUCUCACAAAGUUACCUUUUAUUUUCCUCUUGUUUGUCACUCAUCUCCCCUAGUGUGCUCUUUUUAUUUCUUUUACUAUUAAUAAUAAAA
ensembl:lncRNA LINC00320 long intergenic non-protein coding RNA 320